GAUGAACGCUGGCGGCGUGCCUAAUACAUGCAAGUCGAGCGGACAGAUGAUGAUCUUGCUCCUUGGACGUUAGCGGCGGACGUGUGUGUAACACGUGUAUAACCUACCUAUAAUACUGGUAUAUCUUCGGGAAUCCGGAUCUAAUACCGUAUAAGAUCUUGAACCGCAUUGGGCAAUGGUAAAAUUCGGUUUUUCUGUAACUUCUCGAUGGAUCCGCGCCGGAUUAGUUGGUUGUGAAGGUAACGGCUUACCAAGGCAACGAUGCGUAGCCGACCUGGGGGGGUGAUCGGCCACACUGGAACUUAGACACGGUCCAGACUCCUACGGGAGGCAGCAGUAGGGAACGGUCCGCAAUGGGCGAAAACAUGACGGAGCAACGCCGAGUGAGUGAUGAAGGUCUUCGGAUCGUAAAAACCUGUUAUUAGGGAAGAACAAAUGUGUAAGUAAAUAUGCACGUCUUGACGGUAACUAAUAAGAAAGCAACGGCUAACUACGUG
rnacentral:rRNA from 1 species